AGGAAAAAAAUAAAUCAGUUAAAUCAAAAAAAUAUAAGAGAGCCCGUAAAUUAGUAUCCUCAUUUAUGGAAUAAGAGCUAAUACGUGUCACGUUUGUGUUGGCCAAAUAAGAAAUAGAAGUAGAAUUUUUUUUUUUUUGACGGACAAUCGAAUAUUUUUUUUCUUUCCUCUCUCUUUUUCUUUUUCUCUCGAUCGAAGUCCAGAAUUGUCAAAUGAAGAAGAAGAAAUCAAACGACAUAGAAGCAGAGAAGAUUGGGAUCGGAAGAGAUUGAAUCUGGUUGGUUUGAUAUUUGAGUUUGGAGUCGAUUCAUUCGGUUGAGGUUAAAGCAAUUGGAAUCGGAGGAUAAGUUUCUCUAUUUAGUAGUAUGAAUUUGCGAUUAGGGACGAAGUGGAAUUGAUAAUGGUGUUGGUUGUUCCUUUUCUCCUAGUGUCAUCACCACAUUGAUAUAGGUCUUCCCAAAGGCACCUUCUCUUCUUAUUGACACUUUUGUAGUCAUUCCAUCACUGAUCGAUUGAUGAUGCUUUUAUUUGAUGAAUCUUUUUUUUCUCACACUUCUGCAGAACUUAAAGAGGUUUGUUUUUAAAUUAGUCUUUUUAUUUCUUUCAAACACACGUUGGAAGAAACUUAUGCGUUUAAAUUCACUUUAUUUUUGAUAUUUUCUUUUGACUUUCUUUAUAUGUAAGCAGACAAAAUUUGGAGGAUACAAAUUAAUCAUUUUUAGUUUUUAUGAUUUGUACUUCUAUUUUA